rnacentral:tRNA from 2 species
GGAAAAUUCGUCAUUAGGUAAGACAAAUUAUUUGCUAAGUAAUUGAAUUUUUAUUCUUAUGAGUUCAAACCUCAUAUUUUCCG